rnacentral:rRNA from 1 species
UACGGGGGGAGCAAGCGUUGUUCGGAUUUACUGGGCGUAAAGGGCGCGUAGGCGGCCACCGCAAGUCAGUUGUGAAAGCUCUGGGCUUAACCCAGAAAGGUCAACUGAUACUGCGGGGCUAGAGUGCAGAAGGGGCAACUGGAAUUCUCGGUGUAGCGGUGAAAUGCGUAGAUAUCGAGAGGAACACCGGUGGCGAAGGCGGUUCUCUGGGCAUGUCCUGACGCUGAGGAGCGAAAGUGUGGGGAGCGAACAGG